rnacentral:rRNA from 1 species
AUUGAACGCUGGCGGCAGGCCUAACACAUGCAAGUCGAACGGUAACAGGAAGCAGCUUGCUGCUUUGCUGACGAGGGGCGGACGGGUGAGUAAUGUCUGGGAAACUGCCUGAUGGAGGGGGAUAACUACUGGAAACGGUAGCUAAUACCGCAUAACGUCGCAAGACCAAAGAGGGGGACCUUCGGGCCUCUUGCCAUCGGAUGUGCCCAGAUGGGAUUAGCUAGUAGGUGGGGUAACGGCUCACCUAGGCGACGAUCCCUAGCUGGUCUGAGAGGAUGACCAGCCACACUGGAACUGAGACACGGUCCAGACUCCUACGGGAGGCAGCAGUGGGGAAUAUUGCACAAUGGGCGCAAGCCUGAUGCAGCCAUGCCGCGUGUAUGAAGAAGGCCUUCGGGUUGUAAAGUACUUUCAGCGGGGAGGAAGGGAGUAAAGUUAAUACCUUUGCUCAUUGACGUUACCCGCAGAAGAAGCACCGGCUAACUCCGUG